rnacentral:rRNA from 1 species
CUUCGGAGACGCGGAGGGACAUUGCUGGAGCGCUUCGGCGCACCCAGAAACCCGUGUGAACUCUUACCAUCGUUGCCUCGGCGCGCCGGCCCUCGGGUCCUACGAGCGCGCGCCGGCGGCCCAUAACUCGUCUCUUGUGUCUCUCUGAGUUGGACCGAAAUAAAUCAAAACCUUCAACAACGGAUCUCUUGGCUCUGGCAUCGAUGAAGAACGCAGCGAAAUGCGAUAAGUAAUGUGAAUUGCAGAAUUCAGUGAAUCAUCGAAUCUUUGAACGCACAUUGCGCCCUCUGGUAUUCCGGAGGGCAUGCCUGUCCGAGCGUCAUUUCACCCCUCAAGCUCUGCUUGGUGUUGGGGCGCUGCCCAGCGAUGGGCAUGCUCCGAAAUGCAGUGGCGAGCCGGCCAGAUCUCCGAGCGUAGUAAUCUCUCGUUCGGGCUCUGGUCUGUCAGCCAGAAAACGUCUGUCUUCGCCGACAAACACUUCUCAAUUGACCUCGGAUCAGGUAGGAAUACCCGCUGAACUUAAGCAUUAUG